rnacentral:rRNA from 1 species
UAUGUUCUUCGUGAACAUGGCGUACUGCUCAGUAACACGUGGAUAACCUGCCCUUGGGUCCGGCAUAACCCCGGGAAACUGGGGAUAAUUCCGGAUAACGCACAUAUGCUGGAAUGCUUUAUGCGUCAAAUGGAUUCGUCUGCCCAAGGAUGGGUCUGCGGCCUAUCAGGUAGUAGUGGGUGUAAUGUACCUACUAGCCGACGACGGGUACGGGUUGUGAGAGCAAGAGCCCGGAGAUGGAUUCUGAGACAUGAAUCCAGGCCCUACGGGGCGCAGCAGGCGCGAAAACUUUACAAUGCGGGAAACCGUGAUAAGGGGACACCGAGUGCCAGCAUCAUAUGCUGGCUGUCCGGGUGUGUAAAAUACACCUGUUAGCAAGGGCCGGGCAAGACCGGUGCCAGCCGCCGCGGUAACACCGGCGGCCCGAGUGGUGAUCGUGAUUAUUGGGUCUAAAGGGUCCGUAGCCGGUUUGGUCAGUCCUCCGGGAAAUCUGACGGCUUAACCGUUAGGCUUUCGGAGGAUACUGCCAGGCUUGGAACCGGGAGAGGUAAGAGGUACUACAGGGGUAGGAGUGAAAUCUUGUAAUCCCUGUGGGACCACCUGUGGCGAAGGCGUCUU